rnacentral:lncRNA from 1 species
CCGCUUCGCCGCACCGGCUGCCCAGCGAGCGGGGGGUGCCGGAGCUGGUCUACGCCAAGCCCUCGAGCCGCCACAUCAAAGCGAGCUUCCAAGGGCGCCGGAGCUACUCGGAGGUGAGCAACGUGGCGCUGUACCAGCAGAGCCGCUCGCUCUGGCUGCAGCCCGAAGCCUCCACGCUGCCCAAGCCGCGGCCCUACGGCGAGCUCUACCUGGGCGGCGCCGGCGCCCCGCCGAGCCCCCGGGCGCCCUUCGAGGAGCACGUGCGCUUCGAGAAGCAGUCGUCGGACGAAGACGACUGGGCCGUGCCCAGCCCGCCCAGCCCCGAGGCCGGCGCCAUCCGCUGCGCCUCCUUCUGCGCCGGCUUCCCCAUCCCCGCCGCCGCCGCCGCGCACCGGACGGCGGCCGCCUACGCCCGGGCCGAGCACGCGCAGUCCUGGCCCUCCAUCAACCUGCUGCUGGAGACGGCGGACUCGGACAUCCGGAGCUGCCCGCUCUGCCAGCUGGCCUUCCCCGUCGGCUACCCGGACGAUGCUUUGAUAAAGCACAUCGACUCGCACCUGGAGAACAGCAAGAUCUGAGGGCGCCGCUCGCCGCGCCGCACCGCGCCGCGCUGCACCCCCCGGCCCCGGACUGCCCCCCACCCCCGUUUUUGGAUGCUGCAUGAAACCACGCGGAGCGASGCGGCUCCCUAAAUACCUCCGAGGCUUCAGUAGCUACGAAAAGACUGACGGAGCCCCCCCGGCCCCCAGCCCAGCCUCGCGUGUAAGUGGGUUUCCCCGCUCCCGCCUCUCCCCUGCUGCCCGCGCCCGGAUCUGCGGUGCCAUCGGAUGCGCGAGCCGGAGGGGGCGGAUGCUCCGGCCGGGGCCACUGCUCGCCAGGGCCCCCCCUGCCCUCGGGUUUCUCUGCUUGAUCUCAGGGAGGAUUUGAGGGAUCGGAUCCCACCUCCGGGCCCCAGAAAGCAGGCGAAGGGCAGGAGCUGCCUGUCCUCGGUCCCCCCGGCCACCUCGUCCCACCGGUUCAAGCAUCUUUCCAGGCUUUUACAUUAAAAGCGUUGCCCCCCCCCCACACACACACACACACCCCUUCCCGCCCCGGCCCCACUUCUCCCUGCAAUGAUGCUGCUGAGAAAUGAAACCCACUGCUGCACGUCGCGGCCGGCUCCCGGUGCCGGAGCACCAUCCCGCCGCGGGUGCGUGUUCCCUGGCACGGUGCCAUGCCGGAGCGCCGGGAGCGCAGGAACCAGUCUGCAUCUGAGCUCCCUCUCUCUGGCCUGAGCGAGCGUCUCCACCGCCAUGGCAC